rnacentral:misc_RNA from 1 species
GUGGCCUGAUGGAUGGACUGCUGUGACAGCAGAUGGAAAAAGAAGUGCUCAGUUUGAACACACACUCCUGGUCACAGAGACUGGAGUUGAAGUACUGACAGGACGCCUACCGACAUCUCCCAAGGUGUUCCCUUGGUUGAGUUCUUGAUUUGUCUUUUGCAUUCUUUUGCCAGUCAAAAAAAGGUUUCAAGUUGGUCUGUUUGUGUAACACAUGUAUCUUUUUUUUAAUUGAUGAAUUUUCUGAAAUUUUGGUCUCAAACUAUAUGAACAAAUGAGUUUUUAUCGACUCAGGUGCUAUAUUCAAAGCUGAUACGUUUUGGUUACCUG